GACGAGGUGGCCGAGUGGUUAAGGCGUUGGACUGCUAAUCCAAUGUGCUCUGCACACUUGGGUUCGAAUCUCAUCCUCGUCG
rnacentral:tRNA from 2 species